UAUUUUGAAGCGAACCGCUUUGCGUUAUCUGUUCGCUCGAGAAUCUAGAUUAUUAGCGUUAGGAAAAAAGCCUGUGAAUAAGAAAAUCGCUAAUUAUAUAAAAAGCCAUCAGGAAAAUAACGUGUGGAGUAGUUUUAUGGACUCGCUGAACGAAGAUUUGACGAGGAACAUCAACGUGUAUGAAUGGCGAGUGGUGGAGGAGCAUAAGAGUGUUGCCAGGAGAGUGAGAUUGAAUUCUACUUCGAGGGAAAUUCUUGUGCAUUACGAUAUGGGUUUUUGGGGCGGCAGAAUGACAGAGGCACCGGUUGUUCGGGUGGAGCAUGGUGAGCUGCAGGGCAAAGUAGUGGAGACUCCAAAUGGAAAGAGCUUCUACAGCUUCCAGGGGAUCCCUUACGCUAAGCCACCGCUAGGGACGCUGCGGUUCCAGGCCCCUCAACCCCUUGAGCCAUGGGACGGCGUCCGUGACGCCACUUCAGAAGGAAACAUCAGCGCACAAAUCAGAUUCGACUCCGACAUGUAUGAGGGAGAUGAAAACUGUCUCUAUCUCAACGUCUACACGCCCAGCAUAGACGGGGAAUUCCUUCCAGUAAUGGUCUACAUCCACGGAGGAGGUUUACAAUUCGGUUCGGGCAGUGCUAGCUCAAGGGGGGCAGAUUACCUCGUCGAAAAAGAUGUGGUCGUUGUAACUAUCAACUACAGAUGCGGAGCGUUAGGUUUCCUCAGCUUAAACACUCCCGAAAUCCCUGGAAAUGCUGGCUUGAAGGACAUGAUCGCAGCGUUACGUUGGGUUAAGGAGAAUAUUAAUAAUUUCGGCGGUAAUUCCGGGAAUAUAACGCUUUUCGGCGAAAGCGCUGGUGGUGCUUCUGUGUCCGUUCUCACAGCUAGCCCUUUAAGCAAAGAUUUGAUCAGCAAAGCUAUUAUUCAGUCUGGGAAUGGGCUUUCGAGUUGGGCUUGGCAGAAACAACCCUUGGAAAACGCAAAGAAGCUCGCGCAUUUACUAGGCUGUGAAUCAGAUGAGGCUGAUGACAUCUUAGAAUUCUUAAGAGCGACCCCAGCUAAAGAAAUCGUUGAGGCGACUAGAAAACUGUUUCCAUCUGAAAUGAUAUUUGAAACGGGAGUAUUAGGCUUCACUUUUGUCGUUGAAAAAGAAUUCCCCGGUGUAGAAGCAGCCAUAACAGAGUCGUUCACAGAUCUGUUAACUUCUGGUCGCGUCGCAGAAAUCCCUGUAAUGAUUGGGUCGACAACAUUGGAAUUUUUGCGUAAAGUCGACACCGAUGACUUGCAAGUCUUUAUUCCUAACGAAUUAAACGUGCAGAGGAAUUCUGAAGAAGCUUUAGAGAUAUCCAAUAAAUUCAAAAGUCUAUAUUUCAAAGGGAAUCAUACAGCCAUCGAGAAUUUAAAUGGGUAUUUCGAGUUGAUUUCCGAUAAACUUAUUACCGUCGACACGCAUAGAUAUGUCCAGUAUUUAGUGCAUGCGACUACUAAGCCUGUGUACUAUUACAAGUUUGAUUACGUGGGGGAAUUGAAUAAUUCUAAGAAGCUGGUAGAUUCUUUGGAUGUGCACCACGCGGGUCAUGCUGACGAAUUGGGGUAUCUCUUCAAGAGCGAUUCUUUGGAGGCAGUGGAAGCGACGCCUCAGGAUAUUAAGAUGAGAGAGAGAAUGCUGAGACUUUGGACCAACUUCGCCAAGUCUGGCAACCCAACCCCAGACGAGAAUCACUACAUCACGGUAACCUGGCAUCCCGUAACCAAGGACAACCUCUACUAUCUAAACCUGAGCAACGAGUUAUCCCUCAAUACGAACCCGGAUAAGGAGCGUAUGGCCCUGUGGGAUGAGCUCUAUAAUAGGCACUUUAAGAUCUGGGAACAUCCUCAGGUUAAUAAAGAGGAAACGCCUGUUAAAGCGAAAGAGCCAGUUGUUAUCGAACCAGAAAUCGUGCCGGAACCAGUAACCACUUCAGAACCGGUAACUAACUCAGAAUCGGUAACCGCUUCAGAAUCGGUAACCAUACCAGAACCGGUAACCAGCCACGUAGAAGAAACUACCCAAGAACCCACUCCGGAAGAAUCAACAGUAGUUGAACAACCACAAGUAGUUGAAUCACCACCAGUAGUUGAACCACCACCAGUAGUUGAAUCUACACCAGUAGAACAACUAGACACAACCCCUCAACAUAACGGUGUAAACGGAACCAACGGUGACAUAGAACGGAAACCGAGACCAUCUAACGAGAUCAAAAUGGUCCAAAACGGGAACGGGGUACCCAAAGACGUCAUCCGAGCCAACGAUCCGCCUGAAGACGAUUUGCCUAAAAAUAUUGGGGUUAAUAAAUUUGUGAACUUCUUUGAAUCGCUCGGUGGUAAGAAGUGAGAUGCCAUUUUGUAUUAUUACUUGUAGACAACUCUACUGAGAGCGUAUUGGCGCAAUUUCAUUAGUCGAAAGGGGUACGAGAGAUUUCUGGAACGCGUGCCACAGGGCCCGCAUUCGGGGAAACAUUUUCAUUAGUCGAUAGGGUCCGCAUUCGGGGUACGAGAGAUUUCUGGAACGCGUGCCACAGGGCCCGCAUUCGGGGAAACAUUUUCAUUAGUCGAAAGAAGUCCGCAUUCGGGGUGCGAGAUAUUUCUGGAACGCGUGCCACGGGGUCCGCAUUCGGGAUGCGGGAGAUUUCUGGAACGCGUGCCACAGGGCCCGCAUUCGGGGAAAUUAAAUAGUAAUAGUAACUUUCAUCGGUUGUUAUUUCGCCUGAGGGGAGUCCCCGUAUGCUCCAAAACGACCAAUAUCUCGCCUGCUGGGACUCCCCGUAUGCUGUAUACCGAACAAAUUAUCGGCUAAUGAUUGUGGCAGUCAAGCACACAGCGUACGAGGCCAUAGAGCGCCAUCUACCUAGCAGUAAAAUUGUUUACGCUUCUCAGUAGUUGUCUACGGUUUUUAUUAUAGGUUGUGUAUUUAUUGGCUUGGAUAAUUGUAAUUUAAUUUUGUAUAAGAUUGUUUGAGGCAAUCGUUUCUGGUCGAUUUGAAAUAAGUAAACAUUCCAGUAAUUUAUUUCUUUUAAAAUCAUAUUGAAUGUACAGUCAGUAGCAAAAGUGAUAGGUAAUGUAAUAAGUUUAGACAUUAUUACUAGAGAAUAACCUAACCACAACAUUAAAAUUUUGAACUACUAGCUUCUGCUGGUCACUAUAAACUUCCAAACCCCCCCCCCCAUUUCAGGAAAGUGGGGGAUUAGAAAGAGACAAAAAGUAAUAUAAAAAUAUUACCUAUUUCAUUUUUUUUUUCUACUUGUGCUAUUGACUGUGCUUAUAAGAAAUCCUAUUUUUGAACAUUCUGAAACUUUUGGAAACUAGUCUUUUAGUUACGUGGUUGUCUAUUAGAAUUAUUUAUUAAUAAGAAUACGCCAUAUAAAUUUGAAUUAUUAUAAUUAUGACCAUUCAAAAUAAUUAUUUACAUUUGUUAAAACCUGACCAGAAAUAUACUACGCGCCAUUUUGCGGAAUAUCAUUAGAACUAUUUUUUUCAUACUAAACUGAACUGUCACCCUAAUAUCAGAAUAACAGCGCGACGACAACAACGUACAAAGUGCAAUCUGCUAUGUAGCAGAUAGCACCUUGUACGUUGGUGGGUAAGGUGCAAUUAAAAAAAAAUUGCAGAUUGUACCCUAUACGUUGUUGUCGUCGCGCCCUCUGGGCAAUAUUUCUGGCUAGGCUUUAUCAGCUUGGAUUACAUAUACAUAUAACAGAUACACCAUUCUAAGCUGAAAUCUAAACUUAUAUUUCUAUCAUUAUACUUAUAUUAAUUCUUACCAUUUUGUCAAAUCUCAAAUCUAUAUUAUUACCUCUACUAUUCAGAAUCCUAUUUUAUUUUUUAUUUGAGUGGUGUACCUUAAAAUGGUAUUUAAGUAAAAUAACGUUUUUAUCAAUUUUCUUAUUGAAAUAAAUAUUAUUGAAGGUAUAUUAUUGAAGGUAUUCUUCAUCACAUUCCAAAUUAUUAUUUUUAUGUAUGUUGUACAUGUGCUAAUAAUCAGUGUUGACUUUAUA
rnacentral:misc_RNA from 1 species